CACGUAGGCACCAAGCGUUGUCCGGAUUUAUUGGGCGUAAAGAGCUCGUAGGCGGUUCAGUAAGUCAGGUGUGAAAUCUUUGGGCUUAACCCAAAGCGUGCAUUUGAUACUGCUGUGACUUGAGUUCGGUAGGGGAGUGGGGAAUUCCUAGUGUAGCGGUGAAAUGCGCAGAUAUUAGGAGGAACACCGGUGGCGAAGGCGCCACUCUGGACCGGUAUUGACGCUGAGGUGCGAAAGCGUGGGGAGCAAACAGG
rnacentral:rRNA from 1 species